AUGGCGUCGCCGGCGCUCAUCUCCGACACCGACCAGUGGAAGGCCCUCCAGGCGCACGUCGGCGCGAUCCACAAGACGCACCUGCGCGACCUCAUGACGGACGCCGAUCGAUGCAAGGCAAUGACAGCCGAAUUCGAGGGCGUCUUCCUGGACUACUCGAGGCAGCAGGCCACCACGGAGACCGUCGACAAGCUCUUCAAGCUGGCAGAGGCUGCAAAGCUCAAGGAGAAGAUUGACAAGAUGUUUAAAGGCGAAAAGAUAAAUACCACGGAGAACAGAUCAGUGCUCCAUGUGGCUUUGAGAGCUCCAAGAGAUGCAGUCAUAAACAGUGACGGUGUGAACGUGGUCCCCGAAGUUUGGGCUGUUAAGGAUAAAAUCAAGCAGUUUUCAGAGACUUUCAGGAGUGGCUCAUGGGUUGGGGCAACCGGGAAACCGUUGACAAAUGUUGUCUCAGUUGGAAUUGGUGGCAGCUUCCUUGGACCUCUGUUUGUGCAUACGGCUCUCCAGACUGACCCAGAAGCAGCAGAAUCUGCCAAAGGCCGACAACUGAGAUUUCUUGCAAAUGUUGAUCCGGUUGAUGUUGCACGGAGCAUCAAAGAUUUAGACCCUGCAACCACUCUUGUUGUGGUUGUCUCAAAGACCUUCACGACAGCUGAAACAAUGUUAAAUGCUCGAACUAUCAAGGAGUGGAUUGUCUCUUCUCUUGGACCUCAGGCUGUUUCCAAACACAUGAUUGCUGUCAGUACUAAUCUUAAGCUUGUCAAGGAGUUCGGAAUUGACCCUAACAACGCCUUUGCAUUCUGGGACUGGGUUGGCGGCCGCUAUAGUGUUUGCAGUGCUGUCGGUGUUCUGCCCUUAUCUCUUCAGUAUGGAUUUCCAAUUGUUCAGAAAUUUCUGGAGGGUGCUUCCAGCAUUGACAACCACUUCCACACAUCUUCAUUUGAGAAAAAUAUACCUGUACUCCUUGGUUUGUUGAGUGUGUGGAAUGUUUCAUUUCUUGGAUAUCCGGCUAGGGCAAUAUUGCCAUACUCUCAAGCACUUGAGAAACUAGCACCACAUAUUCAGCAGCUUAGCAUGGAGAGUAAUGGAAAGGGUGUCUCCAUUGAUGGUGUUCGACUUCCAUAUGAGGCUGGUGAAAUUGAUUUUGGUGAACCUGGAACAAACGGGCAACACAGCUUCUAUCAAUUAAUCCAUCAGGGAAGAGUUAUUCCUUGUGAUUUUAUUGGUGUCAUAAAAAGCCAGCAGCCUGUUUACUUGAAAGGGGAAACGGUUAGCAAUCAUGAUGAGUUGAUGUCCAAUUUCUUUGCUCAGCCUGACGCACUUGCUUAUGGAAAGACUCCUGAACAAUUACGCAGCGAGAAAGUUCCCGAAAAUCUUAUCUCUCACAAGACUUUUCAGGGCAACCGGCCAUCACUGAGUUUCUUGCUGUCUUCAUUAUCUGCCUAUGAGAUUGGACAGCUUUUAUCCAUCUAUGAGCACCGGAUCGCAGUUCAGGGUUUCAUAUGGGGAAUCAACUCGUUUGACCAGUGGGGAGUGGAGCUGGGCAAGUCACUGGCUUCUACAGUGAGGAAACAGUUGCAUGCAUCACGCAUGGAAGGAAAGCCCGUCGAGGGCUUCAACCCCAGCAGCGCAAGUUUGCUCACACGGUUUCUUGCGGUUAAACCAUCAACCCCAUAUGACACAACAGUGCUUCCAAAAGUGUAA
rnacentral:rRNA from 1 species